rnacentral:lncRNA from 1 species
GAACGUCUGGCUGACAUUGUCCCUUUUGCUCUGUCCCCAGACUUUUCCCAGCAUGUUCCAGAGCCCAUCUCUCUCAGCUCAGAAGCCUUGGAAGGACUACGCAGCGCAGCCUUCUCCUUUCUCCCAGGCUUGGGAAACAUACAGCUCUGAACGUGGGAGAAAACAGGGUUACCUGUCGAUGUGUAUUAAUUUGCUUCUCCCAGAAAACAACUAUGAUCCUGAGAAAUUUCACCUGAAGUAAGAUCUCUAAGAAGGCCUUAUCCAGAAAUGUCAUAGAAGACAAAUAGUAACCAGAGGUCUCAGAGCAAGGAUAAUCCUGGCUGUAAAACUGCCCCUUGCUGCUGCUGCUGUGGCAGUGUUGGUGAUGUCACCGCCAGAGAAAUUCUGACUCCAGGUGGGCAAUAAGCAGCGGGAGCRGAGGAACUCAGAAGAUCUUGUUUUCAUGCCAGUGUCCUCUGCAAUGAGAGUGGGAAAUACUGGAAAGCCUGUGGCAAAAUGUG